CAAAUAAUAAGGUAGUAGAAAGUGCCUUUUUGACAUUAAACUUGGGAAAAUCAUAGCUAAUUAACCACCCUUUAGUUUCCUGUGAUUUUUAGAGCAAGGACCUAUUUUCACCAGAGGAUGUCAACAAAAAUAACCUUUAGGACAGAACCUACCCCUAAUUAGGAGGUGUAGUGUAAAGUGCCCCUUUUUGCCUAACUUUUGUUAUUUUUGUUAAGGCCUAACUUUUAUACCUUAAGCCUCAAAUUCCUAAAACAAGCUAAAAUAGCCAGUGACAACCCACUGUAAUUUUUACAGAAUUUUUGGAAAUUAUUAAAACCCUGUUGUAGUUCAAACCUACCCUAGAAAACCUAAAUGGAAAUUAAGGGAAGAGAAAUAAAAGAUAUGAAUAAAGGUUGUCCCUAAAAACUUCAUGUGCUGUCCACAAAAAUAUAUCAAAGCAAUACCAAACCAAUGUGUUGUCCUAAAGGAAAACCUAAGUCCAAAGAGUAAUAAGUCUAUCUAUGUACCACUAGAAGCCCCGCAUAACUAAGAAAACCCUAAGUUACUUCUUGACUUAGUCUCUUUUUGCAUAAUGUUAUUAAAUCAUGCGUAAUCAUGACAUACAUGUUCAUUGCAUUCGCUAGACUGUAAUCUUGCUGACGGAGAGUACAUCCUCGUGCCGGAGCAAGGAGCUGCUCAGGAGGUAGCCCCAGAUCCAGCACCAGAGCCAGCACCAGAGGACCUGCCUGCCACUGCUUUGGAAGGCAAGCCCCGGUUUUAUGCAUAACCUGUUAUUUAUGCUAUUUUACUUCACUUAAUGAUUGUAGGAUUGAUUGUGCACUUAGGUGUAGGAAUUGUUUGAAACCCUAGUUGCAUGAUCUCAGGAAUCCUUUUGAAAUGAAUACUAGUAUGACAGGUCGAGUAGUUGCUUUAAUUAAAUAGGAUCUCGGUAGAAGACGAGUGAUUUUUCUAGCACUCGCGCGAGAUCAGGAAAUUGAUUGUACCCACUUUCACACUAUCAUGAUACUAGUUGGUGGACAACAAUCCAUGGGGAUUGGUUGUUUACAAGAUGGAAAAUGGAAUAAGGAUUAACGUGCGGAUACCUGUGUCAAGCGUUUGAAUGUACUAAACACAUACCGAGAAAUAUGGUAAAUCGGUAAGCCUAGUACCUGAGUGAACCUGCCCGCAGACUUUACCCCUCACGCGACCUGAGACGAGGUCUCCCAUUCCGGUUAUGGUGGGUACAAGUGCGGCCACUGCACGACGGCCAGUCGGGGUCAGUGGGGCAUUGUACGCCAAGGCGGUGAGCCCUGAUCUGUUGCCAGGGAAUCGAUGGGGACGGUUGAUGUGUGUGGGGACGGAGUGCCCCUACAUGUCGUGUGUUUAGGUUUACCUUGCAAGGAUAAAAACUCGAUUCGAAUCGUCUGCUUCUCGCAGCUAAUGAGACUGCUUGAUCCAUUGUACUGCAUUGAGUAAUAAGUGGAAGUACGAUGAGUUGAGCUAAGAUGUUGAUUGUUAAUAAUGCUUGCUACCAUGUAUGAGUAGAUAGUUCACUUUUAGCCUUAAGAGAGUCACACUUAACUUUGACUAAGUUAAAAUCUUGAUUUAGAAACUCAGCUAGUGCUUUUGGCAACCAAACCCCACAGCCAAACAGCUGCAUGUCUAGAGGUAGAGGAGUAGACUCCUCACACCGGGUAAGUCUAGCUGAGUAUUAGUAUACUCAGCCUUGCUUGUGGCAUAAUUUUUUACAGGUUCUCUGGAGGAGAUGGUUGCUGGGACAACUUGGCCGACCACCCUGCCACCGGGUUGGACUGUCGAGUGGGACCCUGCCUCGGCUGAGGAGGAGCAUGAGGAGUGAUGGGACAGGCUUCCCCAUCUCUAUGUUUUAUUUACCGUUAGUUUUAUUCCGCUGCACUUCGAACAAUGAUGGAUACUUUUGCACAAACUCCGAGGAUGAUGAUGGUGAUGUAAUAAUUUAACCUUAUCUCAUGUAUGGUUUUAUGCUUUAUUGUAUUUGCUCUGUGACUCACCUUCGAGUGAGAUUUGUGGUACUUGAUCCUGUCAGUGGCCGUGUCGGACUAGAUCCGAGGGAUUGACGGGUUAUUCCCAUUUAAGUGUGGUCUAGCCUCUAAGGCAGGACUUGGACACUUAAGUUGGAAUAAUUCGGGCAGUUCCGCCACAGUUACCACAGGGAUAACUGGCUUGUGGCAGCCAAGCGUUCAUAGCGACGUUGCUUUUUGAUCCUUCGAUGUCGGCUCUUCCUAUCAUUGUGAAGCAGAAUUCACCAAGUGUUGGAUUGUUCACCCACCAAUAGGGAACGUGAGCUGGGUUUAGACCGUCGUGAGACAGGUUAGUUUUACCCUACUGAUGACCGCGCCGCGAUAGUAAUUCAACCUAGUACGAGAGGAACCGUUGAUUCACACAAUUGGUCAUCGCGCUUGGUUGAGAAGCCAAUGGCGCGAAGCUACCGUGUGCCGGAUUAUGACUGAACGCCUCUAAGUCAGAAUCCAAGCUAGCAACCGGCGCCUCUGCUCGCCGCCCGCCCCGACCCACGUUAGGGCGUUCGCGCCCCAAGGGCCCGUGCCAUUGGCUCAGCCCGCCCGGCCGACGCGCCGCGGCGGGCCGCCUCGAAGCUCCCUUCCCAACGGGCGGCGUGCUGAAUCCUUUGCAGACGACUUAAAAUGCGACGGGGCAUUGUAAGUGGCAGAGUGGCCUUGCUGCCACGAUCCACUGAGAUCCAGCCCCGUGUCGCACGGAUUCGU
rnacentral:rRNA from 1 species